rnacentral:rRNA from 1 species
CGUUUGAUUAUGGCUCAGGAUGAACGCUAGCGGCAGGCUUAACACAUGCAAGUCGAGGGGCAGCGCGGGGUAGCAAUACUCUGGCGGCGACCGGCGAAAGGGUGAGUAACGCGUGAGCAACGUGCCCGUAUGUGGGGGAUAGUCGAUGGAAACGUCGCGUAAUACCCCGUAACACAAAUCUUCGCAUGGGGAUUUGUUGAAAGAUUCAUUGCAUACGGAUCGGCUCGCGUGCCAUUAGGUAGACGGCGGGGUAACGGCCCACCGUGCCGACGAUGGCUAGGGGUUCUGAGAGGAAGGUCCCCCACAUUGGAACUGAGACACGGUCCAGACUCCUACGGGAGGCAGCAGUGAGGAAUAUUGGACAAUGGCCGGAAGGCUGAUCCAGCCAUGCCGCGUGCGGGAAGACGGCCCUAUGGGUUGUAAACCGCUUUUGCGAGGGAGCAAUAAGGUCCACGUGUGGGCCGAUGAGAGUACCUCGCGAAUAAGCAUCGGCUAACUCCGUGCCAGCCGCCGC